CUUUGUAGCCCUAUUAUAUUGUGUAGUAAAACUGUCAGAACUUGCAACCUAAGCUGAGUCAAGCCAGGUCAAUGCUUGGAUGGGAAAUCUCCAAGGAAAACCCAGGUGCUGAAGGA
rnacentral:rRNA from 1 species